AUGGAGCUGCAUCCAGACGCCCCGUCGGCGCCGGUGCCAUCAGGGAGGGACUGGUCGGAGCUGCCUCUCGAUGUGCUUACUUCGGUCUUCGCGGGGCUCGGCGCCGUCGAGGUUCUCAUGGGCGCUGGCUUUGUGUGCCACUCAUGGCUAGAGGCGGCCAAGGCGCCUGGGCUCUGGCGCAAGGUGGACAUGGGGCGCGGGCCGCGGGACAAGGAGGUGGUGGAGAAGAAAGGAGGUAUUGAUUCAGACGACCCAAACCACUUGAGCAAGAGCGCACAGGUGAUGUGCGCAAUGGCGAAGGUGGCCGUGGACCGAUCCGACGGGAAGCUGCAAGUGUUUGUGGGGGCGAACUUUGUUACUGAUGAGAUCCUCAAUUACAUCGGG
rnacentral:rRNA from 1 species